rnacentral:rRNA from 1 species
UACGUAGGGUGCGAGCGUUGUCCGGAAUUAUUGGGCGUAAAGGGCUCGUAGGCGGUUUGUCGCGUCGGGAGUGAAAUCCACUGGCUUAACUGGUGGCUUGCUUUCGAUACGGGCAGACUGGAGGUAUGCAGGGGGAGAACGGAAUUCCCGGUGUAGCGGUGAAAUGCGCAGAUAUCGGGAGGAACACCGGUGGCGAAGGCGGUUCUCUGGGCCUUACCUGACGCUGAGGAGCGAAAGCAUGGGGAGCGAACAGG